CCCGCACAAGCAGCGGAGCGUGUGGUUUAAUUCGAUGUUACACGAAGAACCUUACCAGGGUUUGACAUGCAAGUGGUAGGAAGCCGAAAGGUGACCGACCCUUCGGGAGCUUGCACAGGUGCUGCAUGGCUGUCGUCAGCUCGUGUCGUGAGAUGUUCGGUUAAGUCCGCUAACGAGCGCAACCCUCGCUGUGUGUUAUAUGUGUCACACGGGACUGCCGGUCUUAAGCCGGAGGAAGGUGGGGAUGAUGUCAAGUCAGCAUGGCCUUUAUAUCCUGGGCUACACACACGCUACAAUGGCCAACACAAUAGGUUGCUAAGCCGCGAGGUGGCGCCAAUCCAUAAAGUUGGUCUCAGUUCAGAUUGUAGGCUGCAACCCGCCUGCAUGAAGAUGGAGUUGCUAGUAACCGCAGGUCAGCAAUACUGCGGUGAAUACGUUCCCGGGUCUU
rnacentral:rRNA from 1 species